UCCACCCGGAUGCACCCCAUGGUUCUGACUGCCAAGGCCCGAAUCAAAGGAUUGGGAUCUUCACAGUCCUACAAAAAGAAAUCAUCAGUUACUGUCCUGGAUGUUCAUUUUACCCAGCCCUCAUCGACAAGCUGAGUAUGUACUAUGUGACCUCCUUGAAGCCCCAAGGAAGGAUGAAAUCAAUAAGUGAGCAUUAAAAGCUUGUUUCAUCAAUAUCUGUCACCAAAAGGACAAGAUCUCCUGGCACCUACUCGUUACUAUCAAGUAAAUACAACUUGAGUGAAAAUACAUUUGGCAAACAAUUAUAAACAUGGAUCUGGGAAAAAUGACCUACAGUACUCAACAAUCAAUGUAACUAAAGAAAAGAAAAAGAACCAGAUAAACUUAAAAUGACAAAAAGAGUCUGGUUUGAAUCUGAUCACUAAAAUGUGCUUCUUGUACAACCUA